UUCUUUGGUAAAUUUCAUUACUUACAAUUUGUACUGUAAUUUUUUUACAGGAGGCACAAGAGAAUCGUCCUGUUUCUUAUCGUGAAGUGUAUAACAAAGUUCACAAAAAAAAUGAUGGUGAAUUUGUCUCAACUAGGGCAAAGAAAUUUAUUGAAACAUAUGAAGAAUCAAUGACACAAAAAUAUGGAGAAGACACUUCAUCGCAUCCUGUAAUUGAUUUUGAUCUUUGGUUAAAAGUUGCAGGUGAAAACAAGAAGAAAAGAGUGCAUGGCAUGGGACAUAGCUUGGAUCUUGGAACUAGUAGCUCUACCCAAGCUUCAUCUCCAGAGGUUGCAGGUUCCUCUACAAAUCUUACGCCUAUGACAGAAGAACGGGUCACUACAGUUAUAAAUAAUGCAUUGGCCUCUUUUUUGCAAACACAAUUACCA